rnacentral:rRNA from 1 species
GUAACACGUGUGCAACCAACCCCGUACCGGGAGAUAACCCGCGGAAACGUGGACUAACAUCCCAUGAGACUCGAGAGCCGCAUGGCUCUAGAUUUAAAAUUCCGGUGGUACGGGACGGGCACGCGCGACAUUAGGUAGUUGGCGGGGUAACGGCCCACCAAGCCGACGAUGUCUAGGGGUUCUGAGAGGAAGGUCCCCCACACUGGAACUGAGACACGGUCCAGACUCCUACGGGAGGCAGCAGUGAGGAAUAUUGGUCAAUGGGCGAGAGCCUGAACCAGCCAAGUCGCGUGAGGGAAGAAUGGUCUAUGGCCUGUAAACCUCUUUUGUCAGGGAAGAAUAAGGAUGACGAGCCAUUCGAUGCCAGUACUUGACGAAUAAGCAUCGGCUAACUCCGUGCCAGCAGCCGCGGUAAUACGGGGGAUGCGAGCGUUAUCCGGAUUUAUUGGGUUUAAAGGGCGCGUAGGCGGGACGGCAAGUCAGCGGUAAAAGACUGCAGCUAAACUGUAGCACGCCGUUGAAACUGUUGACCUCGAGACGAGACGAGGGAGGCGGAACAAGUGAAGUAGCGGUGAAAUGCAUAGAUAUCACUUGGAACCCCGAUAGCGAAGGCAGCUUCCCAGGCUCGUUCUGACGCUGAUGCGCGAGAGCGUGGGUAGCGAACAGGAUUAGAUACCCUGGUAGUCCACGCCGUAAACGAUGCUCACUGGAUCUUGGCGAUACACUGCCAGGGUUCAAGCGAAAGUAUUAAGUGAGCCACCUGGGGAGUACGUCGGCAACGAUGAAACUCAAAGGAAUUGACGGGGGCCCGCACAAGCGGAGGAACAUGUGGUUUAAUUCGAUGAUACGCGAGGAACCUUACCCGGGUUUAAAUGUAGAUUGCAUGAGGUGGAAACGCUUCUUCCCUUCGGGGCUAUUUACAAGGUGCUGCAUGGUUGUCGUCAGCUCGUGCCGUGAGGUGUCGGGUUAAGUCCCAUAACGAGCGCAACCCCUAUCGCCAGUUGCCAUCGGUUGAAGCCGGGCACUCUGUCGAGACUGCCACCGUAAGGUGCGAGGAAGGCGGGGAUGACGUCAAAUCAGCACGGCCCUUACACCCGGGGCGACACACGUGUUACAAUGGCCGGUACAGAGGGCAGCCACGGGGUGACCCGGAGCGAAUCUCUAAAGCCGGUCGUAGUUCGGACUGGAGUCUGCAACCCGACUCCACGAAGUUGGAUUCGCUAGUAAUCGCGCAUCAGC